rnacentral:rRNA from 1 species
GAUGAACGCUGGCGGCGUGCCUAAUACAUGCAAGUCGAGCGAACAGACGAGGAGCUUGCUCCUCUGACGUUAGCGGCGGACGGGUGAGUAACACGUGGAUAACCUACCUAUAAGACUGGGAUAACUUCGGGAAACCGGAGCUAAUACCGGAUAAUAUAUUGAACCGCAUGGUUCAAUAGUGAAAGACGGUUUUGCUGUCACUUAUAGAUGGAUCCGCGCCGCAUUAGCUAGUUGGUAAGGUAACGGCUUACCAAGGCAACGAUGCGUAGCCGACCUGAGAGGGUGAUCGGCCACACUGGAACUGAGACACGGUACAGACUCCUACGGGAGGCAGCAGUGGGGAAUCUUGCACAAUGGGCGAAAGCCUGACGGAGCAACACCGCGUGGGUGAAGAAGGCCUUCGGGUUGUAAAGCUCUGUUAUUGGGAAAGAAAAACAGCGUAAGUAACUCCGCCCGUCCUGACGGUACCUAAACAAAAAGCACCGGCUAACUACGUG